rnacentral:lncRNA from 10 species
UCUUCUCUUGCCUGCUGCUGUGUGAGACGUGCCUUUCACCUUCCUCCAUGAUUAUGAGACCUCCCCAGCCAUGUAGAACUGAAUAAUUGCUUUAAAAAGGUGAAAUGAGAGAGCGAAAGUAGAAUAUACUCACCCCAAAGUUGCCUCAGAGUUGCUGAGGUCACUCUUAUUCUCUCAUGUUUGCUCAGACCUCCACUUCAAGAACAGGGACACACAUGACAUUUGGUGCCAAAACCUGGACAGGAAGACUCCUUCAGGAGACUGGUACCCUGUCCUCGUCAUCACUCCGUGAGGCAAUCCACCUAUGACCUUGGGUCCUCAGACCCACCAGCCCAAGGAACAUCUCACCAAUUUCAUAUCGGUUAUGUCUAUUUUUAAAGAAAACUGGAGCUGCCUAUAAUGCUUUAUUGGACAAAUAAUACUUCACUGUGAAACCUUUCCCCAACCACAGCCUCCACGAGAGCAU